rnacentral:rRNA from 1 species
UACGAAGGGGGCUAGCGUUGCUCGGAAUUACUGGGCGUAAAGAGUGUGUAGGCGGUGCUCUAAGUUCGGUGUGAAAAUCUCCCGGCUUAACUGGGAGGGUGCGCCGAAAACUGGAGUGCUCGAGCGUGGGAGAGGAAAGCGGAAUUCCUGGUGUAGCGGUGAAAUGCGUAGAUAUCAGGAGGAACACCAAUUGCGAAGGCAGCUCGCUGGGACGUUACUGACGCUGGAGACGCGAAAAGCCGUGGGGAGCAAACAGG